GACGAACGCUGGCGGCGUGCUUAACACAUGCAAGUCGAACGGAAAGGCCCUGCUUUUGUGGGGUGCUCGAGUGGCGAACGGGUGAGUAACACGUGAGUAACCUGCUCUUGACUUUGGGAUAACUUCAGGAAACUGGGGCUAAUACCGGAUAGGAGCUCCUGCUGCAUGGGGGGGGUGGGAAAGUUUCGGCGGUUGGGGAUGGACUCGCGGCUUAUCAGCUUGUGGGUGGGGUAGUGGCUUACCAAGGCUUUGGCGGGUAGCCGGCCUGAGGGGGUGACCGGCCACAUUGGGCCUGGGAUACGGCCCAGCCUCCUACGGGAGGCAGCAGUGGGGAAUAUUGCACAAUGGGCGGAGGCCUGAUGCAGAAACGCCGCGUGCGGGAUGACGGCCUUCGGGUUGUAACCCGCUUUCGCCUGUGACGAGGCGUGAGUGACGGUAAUGGGUAAAGAAGCACCGGCUAACUACGUG
rnacentral:rRNA from 1 species